rnacentral:tRNA from 1 species
GCGUGGGUAGCUCAAUUGGGAGAGCAGCGGAUUCCAAAUCCGUUGGUUGGUGGUUCGAGUCCAUCCCUGCGCGCCA